UUUUUGUUAUCUCUUCUUUUUCAGAGUUGUUCAAAUGAUUUUUUUUUCUUCAGAGUUUGAACAGAAACAGUAGCUUCGUUUAAUGGCGAUGUUGUUCCAUGACUCUGAUGCUUUGCCUUUAGUUUGUUCGGUUUUUCUAAUGUUGCUAUUUUUACAAUUGUCAUUUCGAAAUUUACAGUAUAUUUUAUGUAUAGUUCAUUUACGCCCACUCUGAAGUCUAAGGAAAUGCUGUUUGAUAUUGUUUUUCUGGGAUUCGGAUUUUAUAUAUAAGGUUUUCCGGUUUGAUAUUGCUACUAGUCUACAUUCCAGAAGCAUGCCAUCAUUUUGAAUUACAAUGGACCGCCUCCGCCGUGGCAGUGAUCCGUUUUGGGGUCUCCCAGAACUUGUUAUUCAGCGGAUGUACGAAUGGAUAUCUCGUCUCUAGAUCGUUACUAAAAUCAUCAUCAGACUAGAAGUAGUUACUUAUACUUGGAACUUACGGUGACGGCCUAUAGACGAGGUUUAAAGUGGUACCAGCCACCAAGAGAAACGGAAACGGACUAGUCACAUCCGACCCUUCCUGAAUAACGAGUUCUAGGAAAAACCACCAACAGUAUUUGGAUCACUACCACGGCUGAAAAGGCCGAGGAGGAUCCAGAUAUAUCCAGUCAUCUACCGGUCCACUAUGGAUGACGGACGGCCUAAGUUGAAUAAUGGGGGAAAAUGACAAAGUUGCGUUUUGGGACUCUGUCAAAAGUAGUUGACCAGGUCAAUGAACAAGAAGCAACAGCCCAAGCUGAAAAAGUGUGAUUGUGAGGCACGCCGCUGUCUAAAGUCGAUGGUGAUCAAUGGAUGUCUUUCAACUUCAAGUAUAUAGGAUUGAAUAUGUCAAUCACGAAUAAAAAUAUAAUCGAAAACUAAGCAUCAACAGAUUUUCAUUUCUAAUGUGUUCUUGAUCGAAUCAAUGUUAUAUAAAACUUGAAAUCGAUACUGUUAUUAUAAGAUUUCUUUCUUUUUGUUGAA